GAAAUGCGAUAAGUAGUGUGAAUUGCAGAAUUCAGUGAAUCAUCGAAUCUUUGAACGCACAUUGCGCCCUUUGGUAUUCCUUAGGGCAUGCCUGUUCGAGCGUCAUUUAAACCUUCAAGCUCAGCUUGGUGAUGGGUGACUGUCCUCCCCUCGCGGGGGGGACUCGCCUCAAAAACAUUGGCGGCCGGUACAUUGGCUUCGAGCGCAGCAGAAACGCGGUCUCGAGUCCGGUGGAUCGGCUCCCAUAAGCCUUCUUUUUUAUUUUGACCUCGGAUCAGGUAGGGGUACCCGCUGAACUUAAGC
rnacentral:misc_RNA from 1 species